GAAUAUUGGACAAUGGGCGCAAGCCUGAUCCAGCCACGCCGCGUGAGUGAAGAAGGCCCUAAGGUUGUAAAGCUCUUUCACCUGUGAAGAUGAUGACGGUAGCAGGAUAAGAAGCCCCGGCUAACUCCGUGCCAGCAGCCGCGGUAAUACGGAGGGGGCUAGCGUUGCUCGGAAUUACUGGGCGUAAAGGGCGCGCAGGCGGAACACAUAGUCAGACGUGAAAGCCCCGGGCUUAACCUGGGAAUAGCGUUUGAUACUUGUGAUCUGGAGUCUCGGAGAGGGUGGUGGAAUUCCCAGUGUAGAGGUGAAAUUCGUAGAUAUUGGGAAGAACACCAGUGGCGAAGGCGGCCACCUGGACGAGUACUGACGCUGAGGCGCGAAAGCGUGGGGAGCAAACAGG
rnacentral:rRNA from 1 species